GCGGGUGUAGUUCAGUGGUAGAACUUCAGCCUUCCAAGCUGACCGCGUGGGUUCGAUUCCCAUCACCCGCUCCA
rnacentral:tRNA from 1 species